CUUCAACCAAUCAAAAAGUAAAUCUCCCCGUGAAACAUGAAUAUUUAUAUAUGUGUCGGUACGUCACUACGGUUCAUUUGAAUACAAAAAAUAUAAUUUCUGAAAAACAAAACAGCUAAAAUUUGUUCAUUCAAAAUACCCUUGUAAAACUAAAAAGUAAUAAAAAAGGAAGGGUUCGGGUCAGUUGCCAUGGUAACUCGAACGGAAUUUUCACAUUCUAGGUAAAGAAGUUUUUCAUCGAUCGAGGAUAUGCUUAUUCGUAAUCUGUGGUUAUUUUAGUUAUAACAUUUUUUUCUGAAUCGUGGGACGGUGUCAAAAAAGAGUGAUUUUGGAGUAAUGCUACCUUCAUUUAUUUCUAUCUUCUGAAUGAGAAGCUGACAUGUUCUUGAGCAAACCUCUUGAUAAACCUGCUGUUUUAAAGGGCAAGAUCAAGGCUAUUGUAACACCAUGAACUGGGAGUCAGCUACGAGAGUCAAUUAUGGAAUAUGGAAUACCAAACGAUUACAUGACCAUGAAAUAGCAUCAACAUUUGCCAAAUAUUAUGAGUAAGUAAACAU